CUGGAGGGACUCCGCUCUGUCUCGGCUUGCCACCUGCAGAGACAGACAACGACCUGCUGGUGUGCGGAUAAACGGUAUGUACUGAGAGGGCCCUGGAGAGAGAGAUACAGGACUGCUAAUAAGUCACUCAAGAGACGUCUGAGUGCCCAGCCUCGUUCCUGUGCCUGCAGGCAGCCUGGCCGAUAGGGUGGCUAGGGCGAGCGGAGACGAGUUCACUGUUCCGAGAGAGCGGCCGCUAGCGUCUCUGUGGGAAGAAGAAUUGGCCUCUGCAGCUACUAACACAGCUGAAUACAAGAAGAGGCAGCUGUAGAAAAAGAAUUUAAUUAAACCCAGAAAGUUUUGAAGAAAA